AUGAACGUGUCAAGGAGUUUAUUGAGCUCUGCAGUCGCGCUCGAAUUAAUGGCAUUGUAUGGUCGGCACUACCAGGCAGGGCGCGUCCAAGCCUCACCACUUCAAUGGAUCAUGAGGUAUAUUUGCAAAUUCAUCGUAUCUAACACUUGGUACUAUGCGUGCGUGUGUGUGUGUGUGUGUGUGUGUGUGUGUGUGUGUGUGUGUGUGAUAUGUUUUGUUGUGAACCGUGACAGACCGGGACGCGCCAGGACUCAGUGCUAUUGCGUGUGCCAGCCAGCACUCCCUUGCAGCGCUCUCAGUUCGGCGGUUCACAGCCAGAACGUCAGUUCGGCUCCGGAGCGAUGGAGGUAG
rnacentral:rRNA from 1 species